UAAACACUGAACAGUAGUUUCUCUCAGUUUGUUAGAAUACUCGAACGUGGAAACACUAGUUGCUUCGUUUCAUUAGAUAGAAAUAAAAUUUUAAAUGUUAUAUUUUUCAUUUGUUAUUUUUACUUUUUUAUUAUUAACUUUUCUAAUCGAUUAUAUUUCGAUUCGAUUGAAUUAUUUUCGAUUUCGCGGGCUAAUUAAUUUAUAAAUGUUUUGUGUGAUGCUAAAAAAUUCUUAUAGUUUUUUUUUUUUUAAAUUUCUUCCUUGGCUUGAUAUUUCACGUCACGUGAUCAUCGUGACGCCAUUUCAUGUUAUCCAAUGAACUUACGAUUGUGUUAUUUUAUCGUCUACGCGGGACAAGAUGACCAUCUCAUUCGUGCAUUAUAAAACAAGAUACUUUUAAAUGCCGGUCAUUCAAGGAAAGAAAAGAAGAAGAAAAGAAGAGAGGAUAAAGUAGAAGAGGAAUACGCCUGGAAAGCUAUGAUGAUCGAGAAACAGAAGAACAGAAAGAUCAAGAAGAAUUCAUUUGAGGAUGAAUGAUGGGACUACGGACUUAUGGGUUCUCUUGAUAAUUCGAAGAAAACAAUUUGAAUCGUGGCUAAUAUCGAAUAAAGGAGAAGUAACGACACAUAUGUAUGAUCGAACGUGUUUCGUUGGAUUUAUAAAAGCAAAAAAAAAAAGAAAAAAAAAAAAAAAUAGAAAAAAGAAGAGAAAAAAAGACGAAGAAAAAGGCAAGGACCAAACAAAUAAUGAAGCACAGAAAGAUAUUUAAGGACAAGUAAGACGAUUCAAAAUCAUAGACAGGCCUGUCUAUGUUAAUAGGAGUAUAUAUAAAAAAAAAAAAAAAAAAAAAAUAAAAAAAAAAUAAAAAAAAAAA